UAACCUGCCCAAGAGAUCGGGAUAACACCUGGAAACAGAUGCUAAUACCGGAUAACAACAGAUGAUGCCUAUCAACUGUUUAAAAGAUGGUUCUGCUAUCACUAUUGGAUGGACCUGCGGUGCAUUAGCUAGUUGGUAGGGUAACGGCCUACCAAGGCGAUGAUGCAUAGCCGAGUUGAGAGACUGAUCGGCCACAUUGGGACUGAGACACGGCCCAAACUCCUACGGGAGGCAGCAGCC
rnacentral:rRNA from 1 species